rnacentral:rRNA from 1 species
CUACGGGAGGCAGCAGCUAGGAAACUUCUACAAUGCACGCAAGUGUGAUAGAGCAAGCCAGAGUGAUUCUCUAAUAAUUGAGCAUCUUUUGUGAAAUGUAAAAAGUCUCACGAAUAAGGACUGGGAAAGACUGGUGCCAGCCGCCGCGGUAAUACCAGCAGUUCAAGUGGCAGCCACUUUUAUUGGGUCUAAAACAUCCGUAGCUUGUCUUGUAAGUCUCGUGUGAAAUCUGGCAUCUUAAGUGUCGGGCGUGCACGAGAUACUGCUUGGCUUGAGACCGGGAGACGUAAGGAGUACGGAUAGGGUAGCGGUAAAAUGCGUUGAUCCUAUCUGGACUAACGAUAGCGAAGGCACCUUACGAGAACGGAUCUGACAGUGAGGGAUGAAGGCUAGGGUCGCAAAACGGAUUAGAUACCCGUGUAGUC